rnacentral:misc_RNA from 1 species
UCAUCCGUUUCAUUUUUGCCCCAAGAUUGAGCUUGCACUUCUUGGUCACGACCCUCGAUUCUUGUGUUGACUUCCCAUCGUAUGGAAAAAUUUGUCGGACAGCCCCACAUUGCGGACCUCGAAAGUACUCCCCGUGUCCCGGAGGUGUCCCUUGACUUUUGUUGUGGCUGUCUCGGUCCACAGGACAACUGCUCGUGCUCUCGGAUGUGGAAAAUUAAGCGGAAGUGGGGGGUCCUGGCCUCCGAUCGCUCCAAUCAAAAAAGUCCCCUCGAUAAGAAUGACUCUCGCUACCUCACUGACCGCAGGCCGUCUAGGCCCGUGGCAUCAAUGUGGGUCCGAAGUCGAGAAAGAAUGCUUAC